CAGAAAGAUUUUAACAAUGAGUUGUCGCUGGUCCCUUCUCGGUCGAUCGUGCACGCUCGUUGUUCUUCAUUUCUCCAUCAUUUGUGCAUCUCCCGUGUGGAUCUUUUGUUAGGACUGCUUUGCAAAGUUGCUAUUUGUGGGGCUUUCCUUGUAACCUUUUGAUCCACAUGUUUUUUUCACACACACCCAAAUGUUUAGAAGGAAAUAAAAAAUGAAUUGUUAUA
rnacentral:misc_RNA from 1 species